AUGUCUACUAGAAUUAGGAAGCAUGAUUCUGGUGCUUCAAAACGUAAGAAGAAACAAAGACUAGAUUGUGAGGCUCGAUCUCAAACAGGUUCCCUCGAUGGAUAUGUCGUGAGAGUACCCCGACUUGAUUCGAAAAAUCAAACUAUGGAUUUUAAUGUAGAUGAUGGUCAUGAUGACAAUGACACAAAGGUUGAGGCUCAUGAUGCAGAAAUUGAUGAUGGUAUUGCUGAAGAAGCGGGUGAUGAUAAUGUUGCCGAUGGGGGUGAUCAUGUUGAUACUGCCAAUGAAGGUGAUAACGCUAAUACCACCGGUGAUGAUAAUAUUGCUGAUGACAUCAAAUAUCCUUUUCCGUUUGAUAUAUUUGAUCCAAGAAAUUGGGAUGCACUUGAUCCUAAAAUUAUAGAUGUUUUGGUGCAGAAGGGCCCUAAAAGAGACUCAUCUAUUCAGCAUGGUAAAAAGGACAAAUUGUCUAGAAGGUUUUCUGCAGUAUCAUAUACUAGAAUUCUCUCAAAUUGGGAAAAGUGUGACAGAGAAUGGCUUGUGUACAGCAAAGAUCUUGACAAGGUAUUUUGUUUUUGCUGCAAAUUAUUAAGAAAAGGGCUCGUGCGAGGGCAGUUAGCAAAUGAAGGUUUCAGUGACUGGGCUCAUCUUGGUUAUAGACUUAAAGAGCAUGAAACUAGUAGAGAACAUGUCACAAAUAUGACUACAUGGUAUGACUUGCGCCUUAUGUUGGAGAAGAAUCAAACAAUUGACAAAGUUGCUCAGCGAGAACUUGAGAAGGAAAAGGAACAUUGGAGAAAAGUUUUGCUUAGAAUCCUCUUGAUUGUUAAAUUUCUUGCAGAACACAAUAUAGCAUUCCGCGGUAGUAAUAGUAAGUUGUGCCAAGACAGCAAUGGAAAUUUCUUAGGACUUGUUCAAAUGUUGGCUGAAUUUGACCCAGUUAUAAAAGAGCAUGUUGACCGCAUCACGAAUGAUAAAAUUCGUGAUCAUUAUCUUGGUCCCUCCAUACAGAAUGAGUUAAUCAACUUGCUCGCUGCUGCAAUCAAGUUGAAAAUCAUUGAGAAGGUAAAAGAAGCAAAGUACUUCUCAGUUAUACUUGACUGUACUCCUCAUGCAAGCCACCAAGAACAAAUGUCUUUGAUAAUUAGGUAUGUUGAUGCAUCUCCAGAUUCUUUUUGCAUUGAAGAAUCCUUCUUAGGUUUUUUGGAUGUGAAUGAUACCACCGGGCAAGGAUUGUUUGAUGUUUUAUAGAAGGAAUUGAAGAGUCUUGACCUUGAUGUGGACAAUGUGAGAGGUCAGGGAUAUAAUAAUGGGUCGAAUAUGAAAGGAAAAAAUAAAGGAGUACAAAACAAAGUGUUGGAAAUAAACCGAAGAGCCUUUUAUUCAGCUUGUGGUUGCCAUAGUCUGAAUUUGGCACUAUGUGAUAUGGCAAAGUCUUGUCGUAAAGCAACGGAUUUUUUUGGAGUUAUCCAGCGUAUCUGUACAAUAUUUGCUAAUUCUACUAAGAGAUGGUAAAUUCUCAAAGAUAACAUACCAGGAUUGACUCUCAAGUCAUUAUCAUCUACUCGUUGGGAGAGCCGUGUUGGUAGUGUUCAGGCUAUAAGGUUUCAGCUACCGGAAAUAAGGGAGGCCUUACUACAAGUGGCUGAAAGUGAUAAAGAUUCUUCGACACAAAGUGAAAUAUUAUCCGCUGUUAAUUUGAUUAGCAAAGAGUUACAGUCAAAGGAUAUGCUUAUUGAUAUUGCAAUUGAAUCUGUAAAAGGCUUGCUUUCCUUUUUCAAAAAGUGUAGAGAAACCGGCUUUUCAAAAGCAUUGGAAGUUGCCAAAAAAAUUGCAGUGGAGAUGGAUAUUCAUCCAGAGUUCCGCACCAAGCGUAAAAUCAAAAGGAAAAAAUAAUUUGAUGAGGGUGAAGAUGAUGCAUCUAUUGACUCACAAUCUGCAGAGGAGUCAUUUAGGGUCAAUUAUUUUAUACGUGUUGUUGAUCAAGCUAUAACUUCACUUACCAUUAGAUUUGAACAAUAUGAGGGGUAUGAAAAGAUAUUUGGUUUCUUGUUUACUUCAGAUAGUCUGCGAUCACUAGAUGACAAGAGUUUGAUGGCUGCUUGUGUUAAUCUUGAAGAUGCACUUAAGAGUGGAGAACAUACAAAUAUUGAUGGACUUGAAUUGUGUUGUGAGCUAAUUUUCAUCCAGGAUUUACUUCAUAAAUCAAUGGGUCCUCUUGACAUUCUGAAUUAUUUGAAGAAGCGCUCCACAAUCUAUCCUAAUGCUGUUAUUGCAUACAAAAUUUUGUUGACCAUUCCUGUAACGGUUGCAUCUGCUGAAAGGAGUUUUUCUGAACUCAAGUUGUUGAAGUCCUACUUGCGUUCUACUAUGACACAAGAAAGACUUAAUGGAUUGGCGACAAUAGCACUUGAAAAUGAUGUCUUGGAGAAGAUAAAGUACGAAGAUAUGAUUGAAGAUUUUAUUUCAAGAAAUACCAGACGGAUGCUUCUUUUUGGUAGAACAUGA
rnacentral:rRNA from 1 species